AAAUACACAAAAAGGACUGGGGAAAACGUCGUAAAACAAAAUCUCAUGUGUAUAACCCACAUACAGACCAAGAGAAUAAAAGCAGUUUGGCAAAUAAGGCAGUGGAUAGCCAGGCAUCUGAUAAUGGAGAAGACUUCAAAACUCCUGUACAGAGACGUAGACGACAGUUAUACAGCUCAGCUGUUGAAGAACCAUACGAGUGCUCUCCAAAUCUGAUUGAACUUCCUCCAGUUCAAGAUAGCCCACAUACCGUUGUCAGGCGACAACUGAGGAGCA